AGUGAACGCUGGCGGUAGGUCUAACACAUGCAAGUCGAACGGCAGCACAGAGGAGCUUGCUCCUUGGGUGGCGAGUGGCGGACGGGUGAGGAAUACAUCGGAAUCUACUCUGUCGUGGGGGAUAACGUAGGGAAACUUACGCUAAUACCGCAUACGACCUACGGGUGAAAGCAGGGGACCUUCGGGCCUUGCGCGAUUGAAUGAGCCGAUGUCGGAUUAGCUAGUUGGCGGGGUAAAGGCCCACCAAGGCGACGAUCCGUAGCUGGUCUGAGAGGAUGAUCAGCCACACUGGAACUGAGACACGGUCCAGACUCCUACGGGAGGCAGCAGUGGGGAAUAUUGGACAAUGGGCGGAAGCCUGAUCCAGCCAUACCGCGUGGGUGAAGAAGGCCUUCGGGUUGUAAAGCCCUUUUGUUGGGAAAGAAAUCCAGCUGGCUAAUACCCGAUUGGGAUGACGGUACCCAAAGAAUAAGCACCGGCUAACUUCGUGCCAGCCGCCGCAGUAA
rnacentral:rRNA from 1 species